AUUCUUUGCUACAAACUUGGGCCUGAAAGGCAGGUGGGGUAAAGGAACAGCACUAGUCUUAGAACCAGCCUUUUACUGGCUAUGACACCUUGAGCUAGUCCCUUGGCUUGUCUGAGCCUCAGUUUGUCCUUCUGGAAGGUAAGGAUUAUGAUGAAAUUAUCCUCAAAGUAGGGGUGGCAGGCAAACACUAGCAGGCCCUGGAUAAAUGCAUGUGAAUGGCUCUCCAGAUUGCUGGAUUCCAGUUCUGCCUGGCUGUGUUUUUUUUUGUUUUGUUUUGUUUUUUGAGACAGAGUCACGCUCUGUCACCCAGGCUGGAGUGCAGUGGUGCAAUCUCGGCUCACUACAAGCUCUGCCUCCCAGGUUCACGCGAUUCUCCUGCCCAAGCCUCCUGAGUAGCUGGGAUUACAGGCAUGCACCAACACGCCUGGCUAAUUCUGUAUUUUUAGUAGAGGCGGGGGUUUCUCCAUGUUGGUCAGGCUGGUCUCGAAUUCCUGACCUCAGGUGAUCCGCCCGCCUCAGCACUCCCAAAGUACUGGGAUUACAGCUGUGAGGCACCGCACCCAGCCAAAAAUUUCCAGUUGCUUUCUUUUCUUUUUGAGAUAGAGUUUCACUCUUGUUGCCCAGACUGGAGUGCAAUGGCACGAUCUCGACUCACUGCAACCUCUGCCUCCUGGGUUCAAGCAAUUCUCCUGUCUCAGCCUCCCAAGUAGCUGGAAUUACAGGCGUGUGCUACCAUGCCCAGCAAUUUUUUUUUUUUUUUUUUCAGUAGAGAUGGAGUUUCACCAGGCCAGGCUGAUCUCGAACUCCUGACCUCAGGUGAUCCACCCGCCUCAGCCUCCCAAAGUGAUAGGAUUAUGAUUACAGGCGUGAGCCACUGCGCCCUGCCUGGGCUGUGGUCUUUAACUGGCUGAGAGCCUUCAGAUGAGAACACUCUGAGCCUCAGUCUCCUUCAAUGGAGGCACUGGACAGCAGGAAGUCAGAGAAGACUUUCAGUGCUAACUGCUCAGUUUUUAUCAAAGCAACUGUGAAUUGUAGAAAGGGGAAAAUUAGCUCUGAAGUAUUUAAGAGGAAAAUGGGGAAUUUUCUUGGAAUUGAUUGAACAUGUUUUAAGACAUCACAAGGAUGCCUCCAAACCUGCUUGACUAUGAACAAUGACUUGUUCUCCUCCAAGGACUAGAUAUGGAGUCUUAUGCUGACCAGGCUGGUCUUGAACUCCUGACCUCCAGUGAUCCUCCAUCUCAGCCUCCCAAAGCCCUGGAAUUACAGGCAAGGUUAUUGAAGAUCACACAGGCUGAAGAAGGGCUGCUGAAUUCUUCAAUAUGAACCAUCCCUUUGAUAAGAAACUGAGUGGGCCUGGUUCUUCUCAUCCCAGGAGAGCUCUGGUGUGCUUCCUGGCAUAUAACCUCAUGGAGAGAGGUGCUGACGCCAUUUGGAAGAAUAAUAUCCUGAGGUGCAGAGAUGUAAGAGAACUUCCCAAGAUCAUACAGUGAUUAGAUGUGGGGCGGGACAGAGGCUCCACUCAGGUCUGCACUGCUACAAAGCUGUACCCUCUGGGCUGAUGGCAUGGCUCAGUGAAGGAGCUCUCUCUGUUCCCAAGGCAGAGGCUCUAACUGUCUUCACCUGGGUUCAAGGCGCUGGGAGGAAAAUGAACAUCUGUUGUGUACCCCCCAUACACCAGACACACUGCUAGGCUAUGCUAAUUUAUGAAAUCUUCCCAACAACCCAGAAAAGAAUGCACCAUUAUUUUCACCACUCACAGAUGGAAAACAGGCUUGGAGAGGGAAGAUGACUUGCUUCAGGUCCUCACCAUAGAUGCUUGGAUGUCUUUCUGUUUUCAGAAGCCUCAUGUCCUAUUACUUCUCUGAGUAGCACAGAGCCGAGGGAAUUUUGCUACAGAUCAAGUGCAGGGAGGUAUUUGGGGAAAAUAGCUUAUUGUGACAUUGCCUGAGCACUUGACUAUGAAACCAGGUCUCCUCCUAAGAGCAUUGAAUGUGCAUUAACUCAUUCCCUCCUCAAAGCAAACCUAUGUGGCAAACACCAAACACCAAUAUCAUGCCCACUUAACAGAUGGAGAAUCUGAAGCGCAGCACGAAGAGGUGUAUUAACUUGAUGAAGGUCACACGGCCAAGAGCAAUUUAAAAGAAGAAAAAAAAUCCUUCUCUGAAUGGAGACAGAUGCCAUAUAUGUUGGACCCUCAGGGGAUUGAAAAGGAUGAGGUUCCCAAGUCCAGUGUUCUGGGGACGGACGUGGGUGGAAGGAAACUCACAAGUGAUGGGAAUCCAGGAUCAACUGCAACACCCACAGCAAGGCCAGCAAGGCACUAACCACCCAGUCCAGGGCAGGGCCCUUCAAGGUUUUAUUCCCAAGGCCUCCCCAGUAGCCUGUCUGACUGUUCUCUACAUGCUAUUUACUGAGUACUAAAUAUUGAGUGAUGGGUGAAGUGCACAUCAUCCCCCUUAACUUUCCCCACAACUCCAUGUUGAGAUGCUGUUGUACAUAUGAGAACACAGAUACUACAUUGCCCAAUGUCAUCAACUAGAACAGCAGGAAUCUGUGUGCUGGGAAGCCAGACCCCAGAACCAGUGCUCUCAAAUCCCCACCAAUGUCAUCUAGUGGUUACUGGAGUCCUUAUUUUGGAGUCCUGAUAUCCAUGCUACCAAUUCCUAUCUGAGUGACAAUGAACAUGUCACUUCCCUUUCUGAGUUGGCUUCCACACUCACAGGAUGGAGACUGAGAUACCAUUUUGCUAGGGUGUUAUCAAGAUUCAGAGAUCCAAAGUUACACUUAAAAGUCAUUUGAGACAUUUGUUCUUUUUUUCUACCCCACCCCCUGCCUAAAAGGUUCUCCUCUUACCCAGGAUGAACUCAAGAUGUAACAUUUUAAAAUGAGCCUUAGGAAAAAACCUGCAAGGGUUGGUACCAGCUGGAGAAAAAUAAAUACGCUCAUGUGGGUGCCAAAGAUUCAAAAGAGAGAAGCAGCAGCCCAAACCAGAGUCUACACCAGAGGGAAUCAUUAUGGAAGGAGAAAGUUCAUCCUAUCAUUGUGCAGAAAGGAAGGAUCCAUGUGUGACUCUAGGGAGUAGGAUCCAAAGCAUCAUUUUCUAGCUCUGUAAAUAGACUAUGGACUCUUUGCUAGUUAGGACACAGUAUCUUUCUAAUGUUAGGGCCCAGAAGAGGGUCUUACACAGCAGUACUUAGUUGUUGAGCUCUGAAUGCAGCUAAAAUUCAACUGUGGGUUGUCUAAUAACCAGUUUUUGCUUCAACCAAAGGCAAGUUUGAUCUAGUUUGAUAAGAUGUGCUAGAUGCUGGAGAAUCCAUUACCAACAGUCAAGAAUCACAUAAAAGAGCUGCUCUAUGCAUACCUAAGUGGGAAAACUGUAAAAAAAACAUGAUUAGCAUAAAAGACAGGGUCUUGGCCACUUCCAGAAGGGAGGACAGGGUUACAAUUGGAAAUGGAGGCAUGGUGGGUGUGUUGGGGGAGGGCUUAUGGAAUGCAGGCAAUAUUCUAUUUCUUGACAUGGGUGAUGGUUUAGGUGAGAAUUGCUUAAUUCGUAUCAAAACUGUAAAUAAUGUUUUACAUAUUUUUCUAUAUAUUAUAUUGCACAGUAAAAUUGCUAAACAUCUAUCUAUCUAUCUAUCUAUCUAUCUAUCUAUCUAUCUAUCUAGUUAUCUAUCUAUCUUAUAGUAAAUCUACUAAAAGGACAUGUCAAAAUGUUAGUAGUAGCUAUUUGGAGGUGACAUGACUAUGGGUGAUAUUGUUCUUUAUUUUUUCUCUAUAUGUCCUAAAUAUUCUUGUAUGUGCAUAUAAUAAUUUCAUAAUUAAAAAAAAACACGUUUUAGUUGAAUUGCUUCAUUACCUAAAUAAGGCAACAACAAAAACGUGAAGGUCAGUUCCACCACUUCUGCCUGAAAUUCCUCCAAUGGAGAACCUCAUCUUCUCCCUAAGGUUCAAUGUGCAUGAAAGAACAGCUCUGCAGAGUAAGUUGAGGGGUGCCAAAUCCCACUGGCUCUUAUAUAGGCCUAUCUGCAGUGUCUUCCCCCUCUGGAACCAAGUACAUCUUUGACUUAGGUACUGUGGCGGGAAAGGGAGAUGCCCCAGAGAGAAUCAAGUUUAACUCUGAAUUUGUAGGAAGGACAGGAGCAUAGCUGAGGAUUCACAGUAAACAGAGUCAUGUUGAGAAACAGGGUCCCUUCAUCACCUCGGACUGUAUUAUCCCCAUGAUCAUGGGCCUGAAAAAUCACCUUUCCCUUUCAGUGAUGAUGAAGAAAAUUUCUGAAAACCAAGGAAAGCCAGAAAAGGCUACUAAGUUUCCUAGCUCAACAAGCUCCUCUCUACACAAUAGGACCUGAUCUUAGGAAGGGAGGCCAUGGCCCUGGGUUUUGCUCAUGCCUGGCUACUUUCACUGGGUCCGGCCAACAAUAUUGUAAGGUGCAGGGAUCAUUCCCAUUUUAUGGAUCAGAUUAGAGGGGCUCAGAUACAUUCAGCAAUUUGUCCAAAGUCACACAGCUUCCCAGUUACAGGGAUGGGAUUUGAAUCCAACUCUGAAUUAUGGACAAGUCUAUUCUUUUUACUGGACUGGAAUUCUGAUUAACUAGCCCAUCUCUCUCUAGGAACGUCUGUCACUCAGUUCGGGUAGAAUUUUCUCAAUGAGGAGAAAGGCUAUUGAGUGUUUGAUGAAACCUUCUCACUGUUUGCUCCCUCAAGGGAAAGGGAUUUCAAAAUACCUGGGCUAGUGGGUCAAGACUUCUUAAAGCAGGGAUCAGAGAGAAGCUGGAGAAUACAGGCAAAAGGAUACCUUUAUUAUUUGUAAAAUUUAAUAACAAUAAUAAUAAUGUCAUUUGUCAUCCAUUUAUCCUCAAGACCUAUGAUAAAAGACAAAAGAAUGAUGAUAAAAAUAAAAGCAUGUUAUCCUGGGUGGAAGAGAGUCCUACACUGGAAUUUCAGACACCUGGGUUCUAUCCAAGCAUAGCUCUUGUGCUCUUUAGCCUCAAUUUGAUCAUCUUUAUUUAUUACCCAAGGGGAAAAUACACACACACACACACACACACACACACACACACACACACGGUUAAGAUCAAGCUAGGAAGUCAGUUGUCCUAAAAAGAAAAAAAAAUUGGAAAAGCUCUAGGAAAAGCAGAAUGUGUAGUUCUGACUUAGAAAAUUGUCCCGAAGAAACACAACUGUAUGCUUUUUAUGCUUCCAUUUUUAAAAUUACAUAUAUAAAUUCUUAUUUAUAUUUGCAUAUGCAUAGGGAAGAAGUGUAUGGAAGGAUAUGUAUCUAUCUAUAUAUACACCAAACCGUGG
rnacentral:lncRNA from 1 species